UAGGCUGGGGGGCAGGCAAAUCCGCCCCCCGUUAAGGCUGAACCCCGACAGUACCCGGAUUCUCACGAUGAAGGGAUAGUGGAGGUAAUCAUGCUGCCAAGAAAAGCGUCGUAGUUUGUCCGGAGAGCUCGUACCCCAAACCGACACAGGUGGGUGAGGAGAGUAUCCUAAGGUGCUCGAGUAAUUCAUGGCUAAGGAACUAGGCAAAUUGGAUCCGUAACUUCGGGAGAAGGAUCCCCCCUCUUCGGAGGGGGCGCAGUGAAAAGGCCCAAACGACUGUUUACCAAAAACACAUGUCUCUGCUAAGCCGCAAGGCGAUGUAUAGGGACUGACACCUGCCCGGUGCUGGAAGGUUAAGAGGAGGUGUGCAAGCACCGAAUUGAAGCCCCAGUAAACGGCGGCCGUAACUAUAACGGUCCUAAGGUAGCGAAAUUCCUUGUCGGGUAAGUUCCGACCUGCACGAAUGGUGUAACGAUCUGGGCGCUGUCUCAGCGGUGAGCUCGGUGAAAUUGUAGUCUCGGUGAAGAUGCCGAGUACCCGCCACGGGACGGAAAGACCCCGUGCACCUUUACUAUAGGUUGACAUUGACGCUGGACAACACAUGUGUAGCAUAGGUGGGAGACGUUGAGCUAGGGCCGCUAGGUCUUAGGGAGUCGCCGUUGAAAUACCACCCUUGUGUUGUUUGGUGCCUAAUCUCGGGAACGGGAAACAGUGUCUGCUGGGUAGUUUGACUGGGGUGGUCGCCUCCAAAAGCGUAUCGGAGGCUUUCAAAGGUCUGCUCAGUCCGCUUGGUAACCGGAUGUAGAGCGCAAUAGCAGAAGCAGGCUUGACUGUGAGGCCCACAAGCCGAGCAGGGUCGAAAGACGGAUAUAGUGAUCCGGUGGUUCUGUAUGGAAGGGCCAUCGCUCAACGGAUAAAAGGUACUCCGGGGAUAACAGGCUGAUACCGCCCAAGAGUUCACAUCGACGGCGGUGUUUGGCACCUCGAUGUCGGCUCAUCACAUCCUGGGGCUGAAGCCGGUCCCAAGGGUAUGGCUGUUCGCCAUUUAAAGUGGUACGCGAGCUGGGUUUAGAACGUCGUGAGACAGUUCGGUCCCUAUCUGCCGUGG
rnacentral:rRNA from 1 species